CAGCAGUGGCAGACGGGUGAGUAACACGUGGGAACCUACCUAGGGGUACGGAAUAACUCAGGGAAACUUGUGCUAAUACCGUAUACGACCUUCGGGUGAAAGAUUUAUCGCCCCUAGAUGGGCCCGCGUUGGAUUAGCUAGUUGGUGGGGUAAAAGCCUACCAAGGCGACGAUCCAUAGCUGGUCUGAGAGGAUGAUCAGCCACACUGGGACUGAGACACGGCCCAGACUCCUACGGGAGGCAGCAGUAGGGAAUCUUGGACAAUGGGCGAAAGCCUGAUCCAGCCAUGCCGCGUGAGUGAUGAAGGCCUUAGGGUUGUAAAGCUCUUUCGCCAGGGAAGAUAAUGACGGUACCUGGAUAAGAAGCCCCGGCAAACUUCGUGCCAGCAGCCGCGGUAAUACGAAGGGGGCUAGCGUUGUUCGGAAUUACUGGGCGUAAAGCGCACGUAGGCGGUUUUCCAAGUUGGAGGUGAAAUCCCUGGGCUCAACCCGGGAACUGCCUCCAAAACUGGAUGACUCGAGUCCGAGAGAGGUGAGUGGAAUUUCCAGUGUAGAGGUGAAAUUCGUAGAUAUUGGAAAGAACACCAGUGGCGAAGGCGGCUCACUGGCUCGGUACUGACGCUGAGGUGCGACAGCGUGGGGAGCAAACAG
rnacentral:rRNA from 1 species